CCUACGGGAGGCAGCAGUAGGGAAUAUUGCUCAAUGGGGGAAACCCUGAAGCAGCAACGCCGCGUGGAGGAUGAAGGUUUUCGGAUUGUAAACUCCUUUUGUUAGAGAAGAUAAUGACGGUAUCUAACGAAUAAGCACCGGCUAACUCCGUGCCAGCAGCCGCGGUAAUACGGAGGGUGCAAGCGUUACUCGGAAUCACUGGGCGUAAAGAGCGCGUAGGCGGGAUAGCAAGUCAGAUGUGAAAUCCUAUGGCUUAACCAUAGAACUGCAUUUGAAACUGUUAUUCUAGAGUAUGGGAGAGGUAAGUGGAAUUCUUGGUGUAGGGGUAAAAUCCGUAGAGAUCAGGAGGAAUACUCAUUGCGAAGGCGACCUACUAGAACAUAACUGACGCUGAUGCGCGAAAGCGUGGGGAGCAAACAGGAUUAGAUACCCCUGUAGUC
rnacentral:rRNA from 1 species